rnacentral:rRNA from 1 species
CGAAGUGCGGCAUGCCUAAUACAUGCAAGUCGAGCGGAGUUGGAUGAGAAGCUUGCUUCUCUUGAUGCGUUAGCGGCGGACGGGUGAGUAACACGUAGGCAACCUGCCCUCAAGUUUGGGACAACUACCGGAAACGGUAGCUAAUACCGAAUAAUUGUUUUCUUCGCCUGAAGGAAACUGGAAAGACGGAGCAAUCUGUCACUUGGGGAUGGGCCUGCGGCGCAUUAGCUAGUUGGUGAGGUAACGGCUCACCAAGGCGACGAUGCGUAGCCGACCUGAGAGGGUGAUCGGCCACACUGGGACUGAGACACGGCCCAGACUCCUACGGGAGGCAGCAGUAGGGAAUCUUCCGCAAUGGGCGAAAGCCUGACGGAGCAAUGCCGCGUGAGUGAUGAAGGUUUUCGGAUCGUAAAGCUCUGUUGCCAGGGAAGAACGCUUGGGAGAGUAACUGCUCUCAAGGUGACGGUACCUGAGAAGAAAGCCCCGGCUAACUACGUGCCAGCAGCCGCGGUAAUACGUAGGGGGCAAGCGUUGUCCGGAAUUAUUGGGCGUAAAGCGCGCGCAGGCGGUCAUUUAAGUCUGGUGUUUAAUCCCGGGGCUCAACCCCGGAUCGCACUGGAAACUGGGUGACUUGAGUGCAGAAGAGGAGAGUGGAAUUCCACGUGUAGCGGUGAAAUGCGUAGAUAUGUGGAGGAACACCAGUGGCGAAGGCGACUCUCUGGGCUGUAACUGACGCUGAGGCGCGAAAGCGUGGGGAGCAAACAGGAUUAGAUACCCUGGUAGUCCACGCCGUAAACGAUGAGUGCUAGGUGUUAGGGGUUUCGAUACCCUUGGUGCCGAAGUUAACACAUUAAGCACUCCGCCUGGGGGAGUACGGUCGCAAGACUGAAAACUCAAAGGAAUUGACGGGGGACCCGCACAAGCAGUGGAAGUAUGUGGGUUUAAUUCGAAAGCAACGCGGAAAAACCUUUACCAGGGUCUUGGACAUCCCUACUGACCGGGUACAGAAGAUGUACCUUUUUCCUUCGGGAACAUUAGGAAAACAGGGUUGGUGCCAUGGGUUGUUCCGUCAGCCUCCUGGUCCUGGAGAAUGUUUGGGGUUUAAAUUCCCCGCAAACGAAGCGGCAACCCCUUUAUAUUUUAAUUUUGCCCACCCACUUUUCA